UAAAACCGUAGAAUAGAAUCA
rnacentral:piRNA from 1 species